rnacentral:sRNA from 1 species
UAGGUGCCAGGAGAAAGGAGGACAGAACUUAGUGUGAAAGUUCCCAGUCUUUGCCUGCCACAGAAGUUUCACUGGUAAGGCUGAAGCUCUUCUUCAGCAAGAUGGCGACUUCCUGGUUCGUGCCUCUGGGUCCCGUGGGGGCAACCCCGUGGUCUCCUGCCGCUGGAGGGGCUCCGCCCUCCAUUUUGAGGUGUUCCGUGUGGCCCUGCGUCCCCGGCCAGGCCGACCCACAGCCCUCUUUCAACUGGAGGAUGAGCAAUUCUCCAGCAUACCAGCUCUGGUUCACAGUUAUAUGACAGGCAGGCGCCCGCUGUCCCAGGCCACAGGGGCUGUGGUCUCCAGGCCUGUGACUUGGCAGGGGCCUCUACGACGCAGCUUUAGCGAGGACACCCUGAUGGAUGGCCCAGCUCGGAUAGAGCCUCUCAGGGCAAGGAAGUGGAGCAACAGUCAGCCUGCAGAUUUGGCACACAUGGGGCGGUCAAGAGAAGACCCCGCUGGGAUGGGAGCCUCCACCACGCCCGUAUCUGCCUUGCCCCGAACGAGCAGUGACCCUGUGUUGCUGAAGGCCCCUGCUUCCCUGGGAACUGUUGCCGACAGUCUCAGGGCCUCCAAUGGGCAGCUUCAAGCCAAGGCACCAACGAAGCCCCCCCGGACACCCUCCUUCGAACUGCCUGAUGCCUCUGAACGUCCCCCAACGUACUGCGAGCUGGUGCCCCGAGUGCCCAGUGUCCAGGGAACAUCCCCGAGCCAAAGCUGCCCAGAGCCAGAGGCCCCAUGGUGGGAGGCCGAGGAAGAUGAGGAGGAAGAGAAUAGAUGUUUUACAAGACCACAGGCUGAGAUCUCUU